UAGGGCUUAAUGUUGUUACAGAUAGUUCAUGCUGGCAUAACUGAAAAGUCUAAAAUAAAUGUGUUUGAGUAUAAAAUCAUCAGUGCAUUGUCAAGUUGGAUGAAAAGAGCUCUUGUUAACAUUUUUAGGACACAUGGGUAAGCCACAUUUCCAUAUUUAAGAUUAUUGAUUGUCAUACAGUAGCCUUACAUUUUAUUGGCAGCCCCCAUUUUUAUCAAUUUAACUACCCCGAGGUGUUGAUUCUGGAGAAAAUUAACAAAGCAUCAGGGAAUAUCUGCAUCUAAUGAAGGAGGAAACAGAGAAACUUAGACCAAACGUAGAGCUCCUCAAAGAAAGGAUGGCGCUGAUAAAAUGCUAUCGGACAAAUUUUGUGUCCAAAUAUAGCACAGAGGACACUCUCUCUGAGUUCCUGUGUUUCAGACUGGCCACAAUGCUCAGUACAGUAGUGUGUUAAUUGCCUCCUUAUUUAAUUGUAUGAGUUAUGACUAUAUUUUAAUACAUGUCUUUCCUCCUUUGCCUUCCUCUUAAUAUAAGCUCCUUUCGGAUCUAUGAGACCACGCCAGUGUUGAUUUGGACCAACAAAUUCUCACACAGCUCUCUGUAAUGACAACCCGAGUCCUUCAAGUUUCGCGGAGUCCCCUGACGGAGAAGUUCAGGUGCAUGAUUGAUGACUGUGAAGAUGGCAGACUGAAAAAAGGCAUACAGUUGGAAGCAGCUAUUCUGCUCUUGCCUGCUCUGUUCAAGGAGGACCCCGGGGUUGCUGUUUGAAGUUGAGGGCCAUUCUCAGACCAGCCCAUCCCAACACCUAAGAUGAAGCUUAAAGGCUGUAGGGAGGGUCAUCUCGUGCAGUAAAACCACAUUGUGCUCACGUUGGAUGGACAGUUAAUCACAGAGGAGAGCAAGGACAUCUCGACAGCGCUGGGACUCCUCCUGUAGCAGCGGAGGAGUCCCAUUCCUUAAGUACCCCAGACCAAGACCAACAUCCCCUUAUUUAACACACCUGAUUCAGAUCAUGAGCUCCUUAGAAAAGAGCUCCAUGAAC